rnacentral:rRNA from 1 species
GACGUAGGGCGCGAGCGUUUGUCCGGAUUUAUUGGGGCGUAAAGAGCUCGUAGGCGGCUUGUCGCGUCGGCUGUGAAAUCCCGUGGCUCAACUGCGGGUCUGCAGCCGAUACGGGCAGGCUAGAGUUCGUAGGGGAGACUGGAAUUCCUGGUGUAGCGGUGAAAUGCGCAGAUAUCAGGAGGAACACCGGUGGCGAAGGCGGGUCUCUGGGCCGAUACUGACGUGGAGGAGCGAAAGCGUGGGGAGCGAACAGG